CCGUAGGGACAUCCGAUGACACUGCCAGGUUCAUCCAGGCAAGGGGGGAGGCAGAUCGGCUCUUCACAGGCCAGAGGAACAGUGCCAUGGAUGGCUGGAAACAGGUCCUCAGGUCUGUUGGCCUGGAGGAGAAGGUGACCCCACAACAGGCCCGUAAAAAGUGGGACAACCUUAAAAAAAAAAAACAAGGAACUGAACAACCCCCCAACAGGAACAGGGACAGAUGCUGGGGAGGACACAGCAGCCUCGUGGCCAUGGUUCUGUGCCAUGGAUGAGAUUCUGGGGCAGAGGCACUCUAUCUCCCCACCAG